CCCAAGAGACAGCAGCACACUGAGUGCAUCUUUCUUUGAAUUCUUUCUACAGGAGCAGAUAGAAAAGGGGUUACUAUCAAAUCAUAUUCACCACAUUGCAUUUCUACAAAGAAGGUUCCCUGGAUUUUACCCUAUAGAUUAAAAAAAUCAUAGACGAUAAAACAAUAUAUCAGAGAGAUUAUCUAUAA